rnacentral:lncRNA from 1 species
GCUCUUUUGGAAAACAUGGUUCCUUCUUUACUUAACUGUAAAAAAACAUAUAGAAACUUCUUUGGGGAAGUACAUAGUUCCCUAAUAACUUUGGAGAAAUGGACUCGACUCAUUACUCAUUACUUUACUUGAACUCUUUACUUUUGACUUGACUUGAAACUCUUAACUUAACUUAAGACUUGAUACUCUUAACUCGACUUGAGACUUGAAACGACGUUAAGACGUUCAAUAACGACUCUU